rnacentral:rRNA from 1 species
UACGUAGGGACCGAGCGCUGUCCGGAUUCAUUGGGCGUAAAGAGCUCGUAGGCGGCCACUCAAGUCGAAUGUGAAACCUCGAGGCUCAACCUCGAGCCUGCAUUCGAUACUGGGCGGCUAGAGUCUGGUAGGGGGAUCUGGAAUUCCUGGUGUAGCGGUGGAAUGCGCAGAUAUCAGGAGGAACACCGGUGGCGAAGGCGGGAUCCUGGGCCAGUACUGACGCUGAGGAGCGAAAGCGUGGGGAGCAAACAGG